UACGAAGGGGGCUAGCGUUGUUCGGAAUUACUGGGCGUAAAGCGCACGUAGGCGGACUAUUAAGUCAGGGGUGAAAUCCCGGGGCUCAACCCCGGAACUGCCUUUGAUACUGGUAGUCUCGAGUCCGGAAGAGGUGAGUGGAAUUCCGAGUGUAGAGGUGAAAUUCGUAGAUAUUCGGAGGAACACCAGUGGCGAAGGCGGCUCACUGGUCCGGUACUGACGCUGAGGAGCGAAAGCAUGGGUAGCAAAUGGG
rnacentral:rRNA from 1 species